UCGUUUCGGUUUUGUCUAUUUAUUCAUCACUCGUACAAAAAGGCAGGUUGAUCUGUGUAGCGUGACACAGCCAAGGUCAAAACACAAAGUUCUGAAAUAGGAAAUGGAGGAUCACAUUAGGACAUAUCAAGUUACAAAAACAUUUCGUAAAGCAGGUGACUCAUUUUUUAAGUGCUGUGAUGAUACUAUUUACCCUUGCCGAAAUGACUCUCUAAUUAGUUCUUCUCGAGCAGAGUAAGAAUCAGGGACAUUCCCCAAUUAAAGAAACACUUGGAAUGAUGCAUCAUUAAAAGACCCCCUCACAACCAGCAAUUGCUUGUGAAGAGGUUAUCUCAACAGAUUCAACUUCCUUAUACAGCCGGGUUCCUCUGCUGCCAGCAUUAUCUAUCGGAAAAUGACGUGCUCACCAAUAAAGGAAGUAUUGAUGUGCCUUCCUUGUUUAUUGGUUAUUGUUUAGAAUGACAAUAAUCUUCCUUUGUUGGUAACAUUCUGUUCUGACUUAUCGCUAUUUUAUUAAAUAAUAAUUAUUUAAUCUAGAGUUUGCAGAAAUUAGAUGAAUAAUUAAACAAAUGAAAACUAA